GAGAUUGUUAACUCGAGAAAGACCGUUACGAUGUAAUACCAGGUUAGUGAAACUGCCAACUAUAGUUCCUUGGAAGGUGGAAAGUGUACCCAAUGAGCUUGUGAAUCUGGCUAAGGAAAUUUUCAGGAAGAGUGGUCUAUAUUUUCUUCUCUAUUUUGUCUAUAUGCUAAACAAAGCAAGAUAAGGUCAAGGAGGAACCCACCGCGUUUUUAUUCAAGUCUGUCUCCAUACACUCUAAUCUAAAUGCAAUAUCUCAGGAGUUGUUGGUUUGAGAGGAAUGGAGGGAACCCAAAUUUUGAUGAUUGGAACUAAGAGGGAUAUAAGAAAGCAGCCACAGGGAUGGAAUUUGGAGCUCGAUCAUUUGCCACCAGCUGGUAAGGAGGACCACACUGCAAGUGGUAAGUAAAGCACUGUUCACCUUUGGCACACAGUGGCAAUGCAACUGUUGAACUUUCCCACUGGAGAACUGAGAUGCUAUAGCAAUGGAAAGAAAUCCAUUGGCUGGUAUGAUUUCUCAAGGAUUUGAGAAAUAUGGAUGAAAUAGUAACUACAGUUACAAUGAAAUCAGAUGACUGUUGCUAAGGGGGAAGAAAAGGUAUGAAAAGUUACCAAUCAGUUAAUUGGAAAUUCAAAGCUAAAUGUUAAACUUGGAAGCCUUCCUUCAUAUCAUGUAAAAGGAGUCCUCAUCUCCUGUGGUGAUAGGACAGAAAAGGCUUGGGGACCAGAACUUAAGAGUAGGUGAGCCCAAAAGAAGUUUCAACUAUUAAUACGGGCCAGUUUGCUAUGCCAAGGUCAAGAAGCUGGUUAAGAUGGAAUGGGAUCUUGACAUACAAGAGGGAAACAUCAGGGGGGAUUCUCCUGAAAAUAAUGUAAUCCCAGUUUACUUGGGACCUGUCUAAUGCUCUGGCAAGAGGGAAAAUAGAAUCACGUAGAAAUUCAGGGGUGGUUUUGCUCUGUAUGCCAGGAUUGAUGGUAGGAGAUUCUUCCAUAGAACAACUAUCGGCAAUGGGUGUGACGGGACCACCACAGCAAUAGAGGACAGGACCUAUCACUCAUCAUCAGAAGACUGGUGGUCACAGUUAUCACAAUGAGUGGCGGAAUUGAGUGGCC
rnacentral:lncRNA from 1 species